GCCUGGGCAUCCCUUAGAUGUUCAUUGGACGGAUGUGCUGCUGCUUCUGUGAAAAGGCCUGUUCACGUCUUUUAUUUUUCUGUUGGAUUACUUGUUUUUUUCCGCCAUGGAUUUACAAGUCCUUUCCAUAUUUUUGAUGCUUUAUCCUUUGUCAGUUGCAUGUGGCAGACGUCACAAGUCUGCUCCAGUUUGUGGCUCGCAUUUCACUUUCUCUAAGGUGUCUCCACUUCUCUCUUCCCUCCCACACCUGUGCCAGGGACGCUGGUGUGCGUGCGUGUGCAUGUGUGCGUGUGUGUGGAGGAGGGGUUCCUGUGUUCCUCAGAACCCCGUGCAGACCGACCCCACUGCUCCACCUGCUCCCUGGGGCCUUAAGAGACCUGCCUCCCAGAUCUGCCAUGAAAUGCUCUGCUCUCUUCUCUUUUCCUUGCUGUCCCCGGGGCUGGAGGAGCACAGGCCUCCCAGGCACAGGACCUUGGCCUUGCUGGACUCCCAUCUUCUUCCAAAGGUUGAGCCUGGGGUAGCCAGAAAUAAGAGGCGCCGGACUUGCUACUGCCGAUGUGGAAACCGGGGCAGCUGCAGCCUGGGUGGCUCUGGGCUGGGUGCCUUGACCCUGCCCAGAGGGGCCUAAGCAGGCCCACCACCCCAGGCCCCAACCCGGGCAAUGGACGGCCUGAGUUAACCCCCAUACCAGGCCUCCAUCACUCCUAUCCCCAGCAGCUCCUGCCAAGAGGAAAGGGCCAGGCAGGGCUGUCACUCAAGACUGAGCAGGUGGUCCAGGUGGGAGGUGCAGGGGUGAGAGCUCUGGUCUCGGCUCUGUCCUUUGUUCACUGAGGCCCUUUGGCCAUCCCUGACCCACUCCAGGCCUUGGCUUCCUCUUUUGUAUGGUGAUCGAGGCACCCAUGAUCUAAAAUCCCUCACCCAUUUCUGCCCCAAUUCUGACAUCCCUUAAUUUUCCAUCCCUUAGUUUUGGGAACAGUGUCAGCGCUGAGGCUGGGACCCUCAGAGAGUGGCUUGGCAUAGGCCUUGACAGAGAGGGGACCUGGAGAGACUGAGGGGAAGGAAGAGGCGUGCCAGGUGGGAGGACUAGACUAGGGCCAGGUAUGGAGGUGGGAAGGCCAGGACCAAGUUUGGAACUUAAGGUGUUGAUGGGACAGACUCGAGAGUGGUAGGUGACAAGGCUGAUCUGGAUCCAAAGCGGGAGGAAGAUUUGAGGGUCCUCUUUAUUCAUGCAAACUUUAGGAAAGUGUCUGAGACCCCCUUCACAUUCUUCCUCAGAAGAAAGACAAAUGGGUAUUUGGGGGGUGGGGGCAGGGCCAGCCCUUCCCUUCCGUCCACCAAAGAGAUGGCUGCCCAUGUGGUGUGAUGGGGGUGCCUCAUGAGGGACCCGAACCUUUCUCCGUGUGUCGGGUGCCUGGAGAUCCAGCAUCUGGGCCAGGCUCAGGAUUCUGCAUUGCCGUCUUCCCGAACCUGUUUUGUUUUUAAGCUGCUAUUGCAAGAAGGGGUGGGAGAUGACUUUGCUUCUCGUUGAGUUUGCUGACGGCGUCUGACCUCUGGGGGAAGAGUUUCUUUGCAGGAAGGCCCAGGCCUGAGCCCCCGGGAGCUGACCAGUCCACUGACUGGGUUCAGCCAUCCCUUCGGCUCAGGAGGUCCUGAGAUGCCUGCCUCACAAGUAGCUCCGCCUAGUUCUCAAGGCCUGCCCGUCACAGCACAAGGAGUGGUUCCGGUCAGAGAGGCUUCGGGGACCCCAAGACCCUGAGGCCCAGCCCGGCCCCCGCCAUCCUGCCCCUGCCUUGGUGCCUCGGGUUGGCCCAAGUGCUGAGUUGGCAGCUCAGCAGCUGCUCCUGCCCACGGAGGCCCAGUUAUAAAUAAGCCCGAUGUGGCCAAGUCAUCAAGUUCUGCCCCAGCUGCACUACCUCAGUGACCACAGGUUGGGGCUGCCCAGAACCAAGCCCACCAGAACCUGCCCACCCAGGCCAGAGCCGGGCCAGCCCAGACGCCUGUCGGGGUCCUCAGAUCCAGGGUCCAAGCGUCACAGCUGCCUAGGCCUGGGCCUGCCAGGACUCAGGCCGCAGAAGGGGCAGGGCCCAUCCCGCCUGCACGGAGCCAGCAGCUAUUUACAAACCGAAACCGGGAGAAGUGAAGUGGCUGCGGCCAAAGUGGCUCCAGGCCCCCAGCCCCCACUCCCACCCCAUCCCCGGCCGCCCCAUCCCCCCUCUCCUCAUGGCUUCCUCUUUCCUUCCCCACACAGCUCCCCAACCUCCCACUGCUCAGCCAGCUCUCUCUGGACAGCCUGCCAGCGCUUCACAGUGACCCCUGCCCCACAGCUGCUUGCCUGGGGGGGUCUCCCUCUAUUCCUCACCCCCAGAGCCCCAUCAGUCUGGGCUCCGUGGAGCAGCCCCCUCCCACCUGGGCCUAGCCCGCUCUGGCCUGCUCAAGGCAUAUUCCCACAGUUCUCAGUUCCCCUUCGUGCUUGGAAAAGCUCCAACACCAAUGGCCACCAUGACGCUGCCCGUCUCCUUGCCUGAGGAGGGAGCCUUGACCUUCUCGGUGGGGCAAGGAAUCUGGGGUGCUGUGGUGGAACUCAGGGCACCUGGGGGCUUCAGGGGUCCUGUCUCUGGGCAGGAGGCCCCGGCCAUCAAUCUCCUCCAGUUGGGUUUUGGCCUGCUCAUCAGGCUGGUGUGGGUCACAGGCCCUCGUGCAGUACAGAAUUCAGCUGGGACAGGUGGACACUGGGCUCGAGACCAUGUCACAGGCUGCUUUAGAACUGGCAGGCAGGAUGGUGCUGUAGCAGGGGACUGUUCCACGGAGAGACGACAGACAGCAUAAUUAAUACUCAUUUCUAAUAAUAGACGAAGUCUCUCACGUUGGCGCAGAGGGAUAUGGUUCACAUCAGCCUGUUCGUUCUGUCCCCAGAACAAGCCUAUCCCGUUACAUCCAUCACAGAGUGGACACUGGGGCUCAGAGGCGAACUCACAUGGCCAAGGUGGCACAGCUAGUAAGUGUCUGGACUGAAGAGUCAGGAUUUCCUGUACCCAGUCCCCUUCUCCCUCCAUCUGCCUGCCCCUUGCUCCAGCUUGUUGUACCUCAGUCUCCCUCCCCAGGAGGACAGAAGUUUCCCAGCACUGUGACAAGGCAGGAGCUGGGCUGGCCUGAAGCUCGAGGGGGCCUUGGACAGCAGAAUUGCCAGGUGGGGUUGUCAGUGCCUAGAGUCCCCUUCCCUGCCCCAAGGGAAGUCUCUGCCUGCCCCAUUCCUUGCCCCUUACCAAGUCCAGCUGAGGCACAGCUACAGCCAGAGCCCACUCACCCACAGCCAGCUGGCUGACUGUGUUUCACCUGACUUCUCUGAGCCUCAGAAUCCUCUUCUAUGAAUUGUCAUUCCACAAACACAGAGUGCCUACUCCAUGCCAGGGCAGGGUGUAAGCCGUCUCUAGAACUAGGACAGACCUGUGGAGAAGGCAGGUGAGUUACAAAACCCUGAGCGCUCUGAGAGGAAAACUGAGGCUGUGGGACACCAGGAAAAUGUGAUGAGUGCUUCCUGGUGUGAGGAGCCGUGCCACUUGGGUUGGGGCAGGAAAGAGCUCCCUGACAAAAGCAGGGGGGACAAGUGAGUGCUCCAUGCUGAGUCACACCCCUGUGCCUUGGCUCCAGCAGUUCCCACGGUCUGAAUGCCCUUCCUUCCUCUGGUCCCGGUGAACUCCUACACAUCUGUCAGGGCCCAUGGACACAUCAUAGCAUGACCAGGCCUGGCCUGGCCUGAUGGCUCAUCACCUCCCUCCUCCCACCCAGGGCCUGAGCAUACCCGGAGGCCAGGCCUUCUCAGCGUCCUUGUCAGCCCCACCCAGGCAGGCAUCUGCUCUGGGGCUCGAGCCCCCGCCGUCCUCUGCUCCAAAAAGCACCGUUUCCCUUUUCUGGGUGACCACACGCCAUGCACAGGGAAUUUCCAUCUCGGCCUGUGGAGCCUCUGAUUCACUUGGGCCCUUUAUGCAGUUAACUCCUUCCGAGUCCGUGCCUCCUGCUCCCGCACCCUGGGCUGCCCCUCAUGCCCGCCCUGGAUACCUUGGUAGCCUCAAACUGGCUUUGGGGCCCACAGCCUGGAAAUCAACUCAGCCCCUAACUCAUUGGUCCCCUCAGGGCCCUCUCACUCCCCUCCUAUGCCCAGAGACCCCCGUCCCCCAGGCUUCUGGAACACACAUGAGGGCAGCUUUGGGCUGAGAGCACAGGCUUUGGAAUAAGAUAAGUCUGGUCCAACCCUGAUUCUGACCCUUUCUACUUUGCCACCUGGAGCGGUAUAAAGAUCUGCUCUGAGCCCCACUUCUCAUCUGUAAAACUGAGGCAAGUCCUGUCCCGUAGAUCCAGUGUGCUGGGCCCAUCACAGGGGCUCAGGAGUGAUUAUUUUUCCUUCUUUGCAAAGGCCCCCUCAUUCUAUCACCGGGUCCCUACUCCAGCCCUGGGCCCCCUUUCCCCGUCUGGCUUUCCCCUCCCAAGAGCUCAGGCAGGGAGGGGGAAAGAAGUACGGGGAGGGCAGGGGAGGGCAGACUGCUGCUGUCUCAAGACUCUCCUCCGCCAGCUUCCCAGCUCCUCACAUUUCUCAGUUUUUCCAACAAGGCUUCAGAGAGGCUAGUGGGUAGGAGCUCCGAGGAGCUGAGGGCCACAGAGAUCCUGAGGCCUCGGGGACAGGGCCGAGCCUUCCUCCCCUCAAGAGAUGCCUGGUGUGAGCAUCACACAGGAGCAUCACACAUUUCCUCUAAUUCUCACAGCCCUGUGUGGUCCGUCGUGUUAUUGCCCCCGUUUUACAGAUGAGGACACAGAGGCUCUGAGGAGUGACUUUUCUCAGCCACGCAGUGAACAAAGGGCAUGGAUGAGAUUCAAAUCAAGGUCUCUGGAGCCUUCCUCCUAACCUCCACAAGGCUCAGUAAGGAGGCCAGUGAGGGAAACGCGCACUUCAGUGAAACCCUACUGUAUACAAGGGGAAGGCUCACCCAGAUCGCCUUUCUGUCCUCUCUGCAAUGUGGGGGGCUGGGGCUUGUGGACCCCUUGGUAGAACUGAGGCGUCUGAACUUUGGGGAGGGGAAGGAGCUCGCCCAUAGGCCGCAUAGCCAGCCAAUUGUGGGGAAGGAUCCAGGGGUACCUCGACAGAAGAGAAUGGUGUUGGGGGCUCCAUAGAAUAGGGGACCUGGUUGGGGGGGAAGUGGCUCCUGUCCUCAGUGAGCAAGCGGGAGGGGGGGUGCUGCCCGUGGUGAGCAGGAGGAAGUCGCUGUGGGUGGCGGUGGGUUUGAGGUGCCGGAGGCUGAGUGAUGUGGCCAGGAGGUGAGGUCCCCGUCUGCAGCCCUGGUCAGCAGGAGACAAGGGUGUGGAGGGGGGACCGGGAAUCAGGGCAUGAAGGAGGUCGGGCUGCUCUGAGAUCUGUGCCCCUGGCCACUGGGACUGGGGAGCAGGGGGCAGGAGCUGGCGCUGAGUGCGGGGAGAGACUCUGCAGAGCUGGGGAGAGAUAGAGGUGAAGGGAGAAUCUGGGGCACAGCCAGGAGGAGGCGAGCCCUCAAAAGACAGAGGCCUAAGGGAGUGGAAGAGGGUGAGACUGUGAGCAAAGGCCGUGGGAGAUUGAGAAAGAGGUUCUGGGAAUGUUGAGCAGCGUCUUCUGGCUGGAG